ACUCCUACGGGAGGCAGCAGUAGGGAAUCUUCCGCAAUGGACGAAAGUUUGACGGAGCAACGCCGCGUGAGCGAUGAAGGCCUUCGGGUCGUAAAGCUCUGUUGUUAGGGAAGAAUAAGUGCUAGUUGAAUAAGCUGGCACCUUGACGGUACCUAACCAGAAAGCCACGGCUAACUACGUGCCAGCAGCCGCGGUAGUACGUAGGUGGCAAGCGUUGUCCGGAAUUAUUGGGCGUAAAGCGCGCGCAGGCGGUUUCUUAAGUCUGAUGUGAAAGCCCCCGGCUCAACCGGGGAGGGUCAUUGGAAACUGGGAAACUUGAGUGCAGAAGAGGAAAGUGGAAUUCCAAGUGUAGCGGUGAAAUGCGUAGAGAUUUGGAGGAACACCAGUGGCGAAGGCGACUUUCUGGUCUGUAACUGACGCUGAGGCGCGAAAGCGUGGGGAGCAAACAGGAUUAGAUACCCUGGUAG
rnacentral:rRNA from 1 species